rnacentral:other from 1 species
GUUACAGCCGAACCCUCGUCGGGUCGAAGC